rnacentral:sRNA from 1 species
GCCAGGCGUGGUGGCGCACACCUGUAAUGCCAGCGGCUUGGGAGGCUGGGGCAGGAGGAUUGCGAGUUCAAAGCCAACCUCCGCAAAAGCAAGGCCUAAGCAACUCAGUGAGACCCUGUCUCUA